AUUGAACGCUGGCGGCAGGCCUAACACAUGCAAGUCGAACGAGUGGCGGACGGGUGCGUAAUGUCUGGGAAACUGCCUGAUGGAGGGGGAUAACUACUGGAAACGGUAGCUAAUACCGCAUACCAUCAGAUGUGCCCAUAGGGGAUUAGCUAGUUGGUGGGGUAACGGCUCACCAAGGCGACCAUCCCUAGCUGGUCUGAGAGGAUGACCAGCAACACUGGAACUGAGACACGGUCCAGACUCCGACGGUAGGCAGCAGUGGGGAAUAUUGGACAAUGGGCGAAAGCCUGAUCCAGCCAUGCCGCGUGUGUGAAGAAGGUCUUCGGAUUGUAAAGCACUUUAAGUUGGGAGGCGUUACCAACAGAAUAAGCACCGGCUAACUUCGUGCCAGCCGCCGCGGUAAUAC
rnacentral:rRNA from 1 species